rnacentral:tRNA from 1 species
ACUGGUUUAACAUAUAUUUAAUGUGAUGGAUUGUAAAUCCUUUUAAAGCUUUUAGCUAACUAGGG